GACGAACGCUGGCGGCGUGCUUAACACAUGCAAGUCGAACGGAAAGGCCCUGCUUUUGUGGGGUGCUCGAGUGGCGAACGGGUGAGUAACACGUGAGUAACCUGCCCUUGACUUUGGGAUAACUUCAGGAAACUGGGGCUAAUACCGGAUAGGAUCUCCUGCUUCAGGGUGGGGGUUGGAAAGUUUCGGCGGUUGGGGAUGGACUCGCGGCUUAUCAGCUUGUUGGUGGGGUAGUGGCUUACCAAGGCUUUGACGGGUAGCCGGCCUGAGAGGGUGACCGGCCACACUGGGCUUGAGAUACGGCACAGCCUCCUACGGGAGGCAGCAGUGGGGAAUAUUGCACAAGGGGAGGAAGCCUGAUGCAGCAACGCAGCGUGCGGGAUGACGGCCUUCGGGUUGUAAACCGCUUUCGCUUGUGACGAAGCGUGAGUGACGGUAACGGGUAAAGAAGCACCGGCUAACUACGUG
rnacentral:rRNA from 1 species